UUUAGCAGGGUAGAUGAUGAAAAGAC
rnacentral:piRNA from 1 species